rnacentral:misc_RNA from 1 species
GAUGAAGAACGUAGCGAAAUGCGAUAAGUAAUGUGAAUUGCAGAAUUCAGUGAAUCAUCGAAUCUUUGAACGCACAUUGCGCCCGCCAGUAUUCUGGCGGGCAUGCCUGUCUGAGCGUCAUUUCAACCCUCAUGCCCCUAGGGCGUGGUGUUGGGGAUCGGCCAAAGCCCGCGAGGGACGGCCGGCCCCUAAAUCUAGUGGCGGACCCGUCGUGGCCUCCUCUGCGAAGUAGUGAUAUUCCGCAUCGGAGAGCGACGAGCCCCUGCCGUUAAACCCCCAACUUUCCAAGGUUGACCGCAGAUCAGGUAGGAAUACCCGCUGAACUUAAGCAUAUCAAUAAGCGGAGGA